rnacentral:rRNA from 1 species
GAUGAACGCUGGCGGCGUGCCUAAUACAUGCAAGUCGAGCGAACAGACGAGGAGCUUGCUCCUCUGACGUUAGCGGCGGACGGGUGAGUAACACGUGGAUAACCUACCUAUAAGACUGGGAUAAAUUCGGGAAACCGGAGCUAAUACCGGAUAAUAUGUUGAACCGCAUGGUUCAAUAGUGAAAGACGGUUUUGCUGUCACUUAUAGAUGGAUCCGCGCCGCAUUAGCUAGUUGGUAAGGUAACGGCUUACCAAGGCAACGAUGCGUAGCCGACCUGAGAGGGUGAUCGGCCACACUGGAACUGAGACACGGUCCAGACUCCUACGGGAGGCAGCAGUAGGGAAUCUUCCGCAAUGGGCGAAAGCCUGACGGAGCAACGCCGCGUGAGUGAUGAAGGUCUUCGGAUCGUAAAACUCUGUUAUUAGGGAAGAACAAAUGUGUAAGUAACUAUGCACGUCUUGACGGUACCUAAUCAGAAAGCCACGGCUAACUACGUG